rnacentral:rRNA from 1 species
GACGAACGCUGGCGGCGUGCUUAACACAUGCAAGUCGAACGGUGAUGCUCCAGCUUGCUGGAGUGGAUCAGUGGCGAACGGGUGAGUAACACGUGAGCAACCUGCCCCAGACUCUGGAAUAAGCGCUGGAAACGGCGUCUAAUACUGGAUACGAAACCGGCCCGCAUGGGCAUGGUUUGGAAAGUUUUUCGGUUUGGGAUGGGCUCGCGGCCUAUCAGCUUGUUGGUGAGGUAAUGGCUCACCAAGGCGACGACGGGUAGCCGGCCUGAGAGGGCGACCGGCCACACUGGGACUGAGACACGGCCCAGACUCCUACGGGAGGCAGCAGUGGGGAAUAUUGCACAAUGGGCGAAAGCCUGAUGCAGCGACGCCGCGUGAGGGAUGACGGCCUUCGGGUUGUAAACCUCUUUCAGCAGGGAAGAAGCGAAAGUGACGGUACCUGCAGAAGAAGCACCGGCUAACUACGUG